rnacentral:rRNA from 1 species
AGCGAACGCUGGCGGCAGGCCUAACACAUGCAAGUCGAGCGCCCGUAGCAAUACGGGAGCGGCAGACGGGAGAGUAACACGUGGGAACGUGCCCUUCAGUUCGGAACAACCCAGGGAAACUUGGGCUAAUACCGGAUACGUCCGUAAGGAGAAAGAUUUAUCGCUGAAGGAUCGGCCCGCGUCUGAUUAGCUUGUUGGUGAGGUAACGGCUCACCAAGGCGACGAUCAGUAGCUGGUCUGAGAGGAUGAUCAGCCUCACUGGGACUGAGACACGGCCCAGACUCCUACGGGAGGCAGCAGUGGGGAAUAUUGGACAAUGGGCGCAAGCCUGAUCCAGCCAUGCCGCGUGGGUGAUGAAGGCCCUAGGGUUGUAAAGCCCUUUCGGCGGGGAAGAUAAUGACGGUACCCGCAGAAGAAGCCCCGGCUAACUUCGUGCCAGCCGCCGCCGUAA